rnacentral:lncRNA from 1 species
UGGGGCUGGCUCGGGCAGGUUUGUCUACCUUGAUCCAGACUUCACGGUGAAGAUUGAGGAGGUUGUUGCUGGGGCACCUCCUGCUUCAGAUUUGGUUGCUACAUGGUGUUGACCACUGCAAUCAACGUCCGCACCUGAACUAUCAGAAUAUUAAAUUGGUCUUGAUUUACCCCCGCAACCAGCGAAGGGGGUUGUGGAGGUGCCUCCGACGGUUGAGCUGGAGCAUGGUUCUCGAUUGGGUUUUCAGCCGAUCAGUAUGCUGCGGCACUCGAAUGCCUUGGGC